GUAUUGACAAUCAAAAUAAAGCCAAACAUGCCACUACAAAAUUUAUUUAGUUUAUUUUUUUUAUUUUUAUAUGAUCUAUGGUGUUAGCAGAAACAUUAGAAAAUGUAUUGGUUACGAGGAACUAGAGGAAAAUUCUGAAUUUAACAUAUCUGAAACUACUUGCUCCUAUUGCUUAAAGAACGGUUGUAAUAAAAGAACUUUCCUAUGUUAAAAAUAUGGAAAGAAAACACACGUUUCAAAACUAGGAAAUCAAUACCCAAUCAAAUGUGGGUACCUCAUAACAAAAUAAUCUAUCUUGCAGAUAUCCUUAAAAAUAAAGUUGAAACACCAGUCAUGGUACAUGGGCAAUAGAUUAUCACGAUACAUGAUAGGAGAAAAGUCUAUGUUCAAAAACCUAACCCUCAAGGAAGGAAGAUUAUGAGAAAAUUAGAAGGGUAAAAUCACAGGUUGUGGCACAAUAGUGUUGAAUUUUGGUGAGAAAUCAACAUGACCUAUGUGGAGAAUGUCAGCCAUAUUUGGAGUUGUAUAUGUCCAAUUGGAGUCAAACCAAGUUCACAUAAAAGCUAAGAUCCAUGGAUACAAUUUUCAUGAAGACACCAGAGCCAAAUUCAGCAUACGUCAUACAUAAGAGGCUUUGCGCCUGGGGCGCAUUUGUGCACCGCUAACUCUGUCAAAUAGCGCUUGAAGCGCAAAUCCCGCACCUGGGGUGCUUAUCACGUGAGUGAGUGUAUAAAAACGUGUUUUUAUUACUUUUUAGGUAUCUUUUUUACUAUUGGGAAGUUUGGAGACUUGUGCCAUAGUAGAGAAACUCAUAGAUGAUUGUUUCUAACACCGUUGAAGUAGUUUUAUCAUGAACCAUUCAUGAAUCCUUCUUGUAAUUCUUCUCUAAUCUCUAUUUAAAACAAAAUUUAUAUAA